UACGAAGGGGGCUAGCGUUGCUCGGAAUCACUGGGCGUAAAGGGUGCGUAGGCGGGUCUUUAAGUCAGGGGUGAAAUCCUGGAGCUCAACUCCAGAACUGCCUUUGAUACUCUCUGUCUUGAAUAUGGUGGAGGUAAGCGGAAUAUGUCGUGUAGCGGUGAAAUGCUUAGAGAUGACAUAGAACACCUAUUGCGAAGGCAGCUUACUACGCCUAUAUUGACGCUGAGGCACGAAAGCGUGGGGAUCAAACAGG
rnacentral:rRNA from 1 species